UACGAAGGGGACUAGCGUUGUUCGGAAUCACUGGGCGUAAAGGGUGCGUAGGCGGGUCUUUAAGUCAGGGGUGAAAUCCUGGAGCUCAACUCCAGAACUGCCUUUGAUACUGAGGAUCUUGAGUUCGGGAGAGGUGAGUGGAACUGCGAGUGUAGAGGUGAAAUUCGUAGAUAUUCGCAAGAACACCAGUGGCGAAGGCGGCUCACUGGCCCGAUACUGACGCUGAGGCACGAAAGCGUGGGGAGCAAACAGG
rnacentral:rRNA from 1 species